AACGAACGCUGGCGGCAGGCUUAACACAUGCAAGUCGAGCGCCCCGCAAGGGGAGCGGCAGUCGGGUGAGUAACGCGUGGGAAUCUACCCAUCUCUACGGAAUAACGCAUGGAAACGUGUGCUAAUACCGUAUACGUCCUUCGGGAGAAAGAUUUAUCGGAGAUGGAUGAGCCCGCGUUGGAUUAGCUAGUUGGUGGGGUAGAGGCCUACCAAGGCGACGAUCCAUAGCUGGUCUGAGAGGAUGAUCAGCCACACUGGGACUGAGACACGGCCCAGACGCCUACGGGAGGCAGCAGUGGGGAAUAUUGGACAAUGGGCGCAAGCCUGAUCCAGCCAUGCCGCGUGAGUGAUGAAGGCCCUAGGGUUGUAAAGCUCUUUCACCGGUGAAGAUAAUGACGGUAACCGGAGAAGAAGCCCCGGCUAACUUCGUGCCAGCCGCCGCCGUAAUAC
rnacentral:rRNA from 1 species